CAGAGAGUAGUUUAGAAUAAAAUAUCAGCUUUGGGAGUUGAAGAUAAAGGUUUAAGUCCUUUUUCUCUGA
rnacentral:tRNA from 1 species